rnacentral:rRNA from 1 species
AUGGCUCAGGAUGAACGCUGGCGGCGUGCUUAACACAUGCAAGUCGAACGGAGUUUUAACGGAAGUUUCGGAUGGAAGUUAGAAACUAGUGGCGGACGGGUGAGUAACGCGUGGGUAACCUGCCUCAUACAGGGGGAUAACAGUUAGAAAUGACUGCUAACACCGCAUAAUAUAGCGAAACCGCAUGAUUUUGCUAUCAAAUAUUUAUAGGUAUGAGAUGGGCCCGCGUCUGAUUAGCUAGUUGGUGGGGUAAAAGCCUACCAAGGCGACGAUCAGUAGCCGGCUUGAGAGAGUGACCGGCCACAUUGGGACUGAGACACGGCCCAAACUCCUACGGGAGGCAGCAGUGGGGAAUAUUGGACAAUGGGGGAAACCCUGAUCCAGCGAACCGCCGCGUGAGUGAAGAAGUAUUUCGGUAUGUAAAGCUCUAUCAGCAGGGAAGAUAAUGACAGUACCUGACUAAGAAGCCCCGGCUAACUACGUGCCAGCAGCCGC